rnacentral:rRNA from 1 species
GACGAACGCUGGCGGCGUGCCUAAUACAUGCAAGUCGAACGCCUCUUUCCUCCCGAGUGCUUGCACUCAAUUGGAAAGAGGAGUGGCGGACGGGUGAGUAACACGUGGGUAACCUACCCAUCAGAGGGGGAUAACACUUGGAAACAGGUGCUAAUACCGCAUAACAGUUUAUGCCGCAUGGCAUAAGAGUGAAAGGCGCUUUCGGGUGUCGCUGAUGGAUGGACCCGCGGUGCAUUAGCUAGUUGGUGAGGUAACGGCUCACCAAGGCCACGAUGCAUAGCCGACCUGAGAGGGUGAUCGGCCACACUGGGACUGAGACACGGCCCAGACUCCUACGGGAGGCAGCAGUAGGGAAUCUUCGGCAAUGGACGAAAGUCUGACCGAGCAACGCCGCGUGAGUGAAGAAGGUUUUCGGAUCGUAAAACUCUGUUGUUAGAGAAGAACAAGGACGUUAGUAACUGAACGUCCCCUGACGGUAUCUAACCAGAAAGCCACGGCUAACUACGUG